UGUUUCCUCAGCCCUCAUGACCAAGGGCUGAGGGACAGAGGUCAAGCUUGCACUGGGCAUGAUCUGCUAUUUGAUGGUUUGCUACACAUUAGAACAGAAUAACCAUAUGCCAAACAAAUCCAGAUGUCACACCAGAAAAGCUGCAGCUCUUGUGACCUCAAUACGAAGUAGUAGGAAACCUCAGUAUUGCUUCUGAACAAAAAUUUCAUCCUUGACUAAGACAUGCCAAAUGAGGACGUGAAGCUAUUGUGUGUUUCGUAGUUACCAGUAUCACAUCACUUACAGGUCGAAGUCUAUAGCAUCAUCAGCAUAACAAAAGGUAAAUUAUUAUGCAUUGCAUAUUUUGCAAUAAUAUAUAUUCCUGUUACUAUAUACUUGUCGCUGUUACUACAUUAUUAUUCUACGCUUCUCUACAAGUAAAUUAAGACAACUCCCUGGAGAGGCAAUAUUCUCUGCUGGCUUGACCAUAGCCAGGACAGUCCUAUUCACUCCUGCUCUAUGAGCUGGUAGAUAACAUAUUUGCACUAUGUCAUGUCACUGUUCCUACUCACUAGUAGGAAAAGAAAAGUAACAACCUUGGUCUAGAGAAAGGCAUCUGAAUUGUCCUUAUGACACUUCAAAUAAAUUUCCUAUUCUGUUUUUUCA
rnacentral:lncRNA from 1 species